CAGCAGCCGCGGUAAUACGUAGGGGGCGAGCGUUGUCCGGAAUUAUUGGGCGUAAAGCGCGCGCAGGCGGUCCUUUAAGUCUGAUGUGAAAGCCCACGGCUCCACCGUGGAGGGUCAUUGGAAACUGGGGGACUUGAGUGCAGGAGAGGAGAGCGGAAUUCCACGUGUAGCGGUGAAAUGCGUAGAGAUGUGGAGGAACACCAGUGGCGAAGGCGGCUCUCUGGCCUGUAACUGACGCUGAGGCGCGAAAGCGUGGGGAGCAAACAGGAUUAGAUACCCUGGUAGUCCACGCCGUAAACGAUGAGUGCUAAGUGUUAGAGGGGUCACACCCUUUAGUGCUGCAGCUAACGCGAUAAGCACUCCGCCUGGGGAGUACGGCCGCAAGGCUGAAACUUAAAGGAAUUGGCGGG
rnacentral:rRNA from 1 species